AUUGUUGUAAACGUCAAAGAGGCCUGCAGCCACCUCCAUGGGCAGUAGUGAAAAGAAAAUGAAGCACAUGUUAAUCUUUAACACAGUAAAGCUGUUGGGAAAACUUGACAGCAGUACAAGCAUGAAGCACCUGACAGAGCAGUACGAUGUUGGAAAAACUACCCUCUAAAAGUAAUGAACAGAAGUUAAUGAAAAAUAGAAAAACACUGCAUAAAGCAAGGGAUGUGGCACGCAAACAGCAGGUGGAUCUCCAAUCAAGUUGUAACCGUCUCAGCCAAACGUACCACUACAAUGCUGGCCCUCCUGAUUUUACCACAUACAAGCCCAAUGUGGUUUGUUGGUUACUGUAUUUCACUUUUAGGAAUGUCAUUCCCACAGAAAUUAGCUUUUCUGCAGUAUAAUUUCUUAGUUGGAAAUCCGCAGUGUUCUGUUCAGUAUCUUAAAAUUUCUAUUCAAACUUAUUUUGUGGAAUGACUGAAACAGCCAAAACAGUGUUUAAUUCCAUUUUAAUUAAUUGGCCGUUCAGUUCUGGUGAGAAUGUGAAGAGGGUAAGGGGUACGUGUAGAGGGGUGGGCAAGAGGUAAGUGUAGCAAAAUAUGUAGACAGGACAAGAGAGAGGUACGUCAUUGGGGAAGUAAGUAGGGGUAGCUAAAAUAAGGUGCCAGGCCAGACGUGGAGACCACAAGGAAAAGGGAACCUACAACCACAAGACAAUGUGCUUGGCAAGAUAUUUUAAGGAAAACUAUUUCAAGUGUCCUGAAGUACGUCAAUAUUAAUUCUAGGUGUUACACUUUAACCUUUGCUAAAUUCUGAGAAUUUCGCAUGCUUAGCUAUGCAAUAGCCAAUCAAUUGAUGAAUUUGAAUCAGUAACCAUAUUUGCAAAUGUAGUACCUUGCUUUUGGGUAUAAGUAUGACCUUUGUAAACCGACAAACUGGGAGUUGGCUACCUUACGCCUGAAGUGCAUGGGGCUGCGAACUCCUCUCUGAAUAAAAACUGUUUCAGAGGUAAUUUCGUGUCUCUGGUGUUUUUCCUCAACUGAGCAGGUAACAGUUACAGGUUGACAAUGGUAUAAGACAUAUUGCUUGUUCAUUGUUAGUUUUUACAUUAUAGAUCUCAAAGCUACACUGUCCUGUGCAACUCUCACCAUUAUCAGAUUUUCCCUUAAUAGCAUGCAAAUUAGUGCUCUUUUUGAAACUGCAUGUUGACUUUUUAAUCUUUCUCUUCCCUGCACAGUCCAUUUAUUUUUGUCUGCCCGAUGUGCCAGAUUGGUCAAGUGUGAGACCCUGCCACAACAGUAUCACAACUUAUUUGGCCAGGGUUCUUUUGAAGACCCUGACCUGAAGUUACACGCAGACUUCGGCUCUUUGAGGGAAUGGGACCCGUCCUCAGGGUUUCAGGACCGGCCGUUGUUGUUCAGCACACCAAGGGUUCGGCCUCAGAGUCUGACUCGAAAUCGAUAGCCUAAGACCUCGGGGCUCUGGAGAUGGGUGAAUUAGGCUCAGUGUCACGGCAGGAGACUUCUGUGUCGUCGGGGAGGCUGGAAAAAGCUUUCACUGUGCGCCCAAAGACCUGAGAUCUUUGGGCACAGAGCUUGUAAAAAGUGAUGAAAUGGACUUUUUAAACAUCAUAAACCAGUGGGUUGUUGUUAUGCCUCCCGCUCGCUGUGAAAAUUGAGGACACCUCCCUCUCGCUUAUUAGGGAGAGAGAAAACCUGUGGAUUGUCGAAUGCCGGAUGAAAUGCGAUAGUCUUUGGGGUAACUGCAAAGUCUGUGUCUUUGCUAUCACCUAGCACAUGCUUGUACUCGGUAGCGGGUGCACUGUUUUUUUUGUUUGGGGGGGGGAAUCAUUGCUUGCUGCCGCUUAAGCACAGGAGGGUGAGCUUGGGUGGGGGGUACUUUGGGUUUCUCACAUUUAACUGUCGUUCAUUCGUUGGAGCACAUCUGUUUUCGUGGAUGUUUGCGAAGAAAAAGCAGUUGAAGAUGUGUAUUAUAUGCAUUUUUCUGACAUUAAAUUGGACCUUUGAACCUUUCCCUCAACCCACAUUCACUCUACCACCAAAACGGAAUGAAUAACGAAGGAGUUAAAAGUUUUUUCCCUCCUCCAGUUCUACUGAAGGGUCUCGGCUUGAAAUUUCAACUGUACUCUUUUCUACAAAUGCUGCCUGGCACGCAGAGCUCCUCCAGCAUUUUGUGUGUUGCUUAGAUUUCCAGCAUCUGCAGAUUUUCUCGUUUGUGAUUGAACAAUGCUGUGGUACUGCCAUCUGCUAAUAAAUACCUCCCGCAACUGCAGAGAAAGUAUGCAUGGACUAGAGUUUAACGGAAAAACUGAAAAUAAGUCUUGAACAGAAUAAAGAUACAGAAAAUUCAAAUGAAUCAAGUUGUAAGUUAAUAUACAAAUCAGAACUCAUGGUAAGUGAAGCUGAAUCAAGAGGUGAUCUUGUCUGAGCUUAGAAAAAAAAUUAGAAGUACUAUUUUCGAUUCAUCAAUUAAAUUUGAAGAAACUUGGGGACCGUUCAUUCGACACUUUCAUAUGAAUUAAUUUGGCCUCUUCCAGACCUUUUCUCUUUUUAUUCUUGUUCUGGUAUGGAGUUCCGGAGUUUUUGACACUAUCAUGUAUAUAUAAACUAUUAUUAUUGCCCAUGUUAGUUUAGGUUUAUUUUUUUUUUAAAUAUACAUUUUUUCUUGCAUUUUUAUAUAUUUUUUUCUUUUGAUGACUAUUCUUAUUCUUUUUCAUGUAUAAUCAAUAUAGGUUUGAUUGAUUAUUGUACGAUUUUUUUUGCUGAUAUUUUAAUAAGAUAUUGUUAUCUUAGUACUAAUUUAAAUUCAAGUCUAGUGUAUUUAUAACCUAUUUAAUAUAAUAUUAUGUUAUGUUUUUUUAAUAUAUGAAAUUUAAUAAAAAGAUUGGAAAAAGAAAGAAGAAGAGGUGAACGCCUGCACAAUUCAGUUACCGACACCAACUGGCUCAGCAACUUGAGGCAGUGUCAAACAUUUAGAACAUCAAACACAAGGACCAAAAAAAAAAAUAGAUGUCAUCCUGUCCACAUAAUAGUAACAAAAGUAUUUAAUAGGAAAAACUGAUGUUCAGAAUGUUCUACAGAACAACUUCUGCUCAUUUUAACCAAUAUUGUU